CAGACAGACAAGAAGCUGUAUCUGUGCCCCUCUCCCCUCUCCUGGACCCCUACCCCACCUUUCAGUAAUAUCCCUGGCCUCCUGCUGUAUACAGGUCGGCUGUCGGGGAAUGGGAGGAGGGCUGCAAGCUGCACAGAGCUCGCUGGGAGCAGAGUAAGGAGGCUACACAAGAUGUGGACCCUCCUGGAGCUGUCUAAUACUGCCUAAAAGUAAUAUGAGAAAAUGCCGCCAAAAUUUGUAACUUCAGGGCCCAACUCUUCCAAGAACUUUGCCAAUUCCAUGCCUGCAACAAACUCCGGACUACCGCCUACCACCCAUCGGGAAUGGGCUCUGUAAAUGCAUCAAUCAAGUCUUUAUCCACAUGACGCAAGCAGCCUCUGUUUCAAGACAAGAAUACUACUGCCCAAAUUACUGGAGAUCUAUAACAACACGGUUCAUUGUUCUACGGGGUAUACCCCUUUCUACUUGAUGAUGGGGCGACACGGGCAACUACCUAAAGACCGGACAUUUGGGCUCCAGGCCCCGAUCAACAACUCUCCACAGGCCUCACUUGAGUGAUUCUCUGACCAUCAGAGAAGGAUCCAAGAAGCCAAGGAAAUUGUCAGUAAGAAAAUGGGCAAGGCCCAACAGAGGCAACAAGAAGAUUACAACCAUCAUGCCUCUGCCAAACCACUUCAAUUGGGCGACAAAGUCUGGCUACAGAAGUUUCCAAGGAAUAACAAGUUAGACUCUAUCUGGGAGAAGGCCAUACCCUAUCCUGAGUCUGAUGUGUACGAAGUACAAAAACCUGGGUAUGAGCCAUAAGUCGUUCAACGGAAUCGAAUCAAAUAAGAUCUACCAGUGCUCCCAGCACCGCCUCCUCCAGCUGUCAAACCUGCGAGAGAUUCGUCCCAGGCGAGGGAAUCCACCCAUCUAUGGAUUUUCCCCAUGCUUUCUCCAAAUCAGCCUGCGAUCUUCUGUGUCUCACCAACCCCGGGGCUGGUUCAACCCACAUUCUCCACACCAGUCCCAGUCUUGUCACCGUUGGCUCCAGCCUAUACUUCAGUCUCCAGAGUGCCAACCCUGUCACCAGCCUCUCCAGCACAGCUGCCAGCGACUCUGAGCCCAGCCAGUCCUGAACUAAUACCAGCUCCUGAGUUGGCUGAGGGAGAGCCAGCCACAGCUCCAGAAGUCCCAAUAGCUCCAGAAAUCUCAAGAGUUCCAGAUUCUCCAUUGGUGGUGUUGCGCAGAUCCCAAUGGUCGAUGCAAGGACAACUACCAGCCAGGGCUUUCAUGAUGACUGAAUGGGGGGAACCACGUUUGAGCAAACAUGAGGGGAAAUCUUUCUAGCAGAAGAGAAACCAGGAUGGAAUACAAGAAGUAGGAGCAGGCUUAGAGAGUGUUAUGCAAGGAAAAAAGACUGAAAUGUCAGCAUGCAACCUGAGCCUUCUACAAUGGGUCCAUGCGUUGCCUGAAAGCAUAAGACGGUGUUGUUCCCCUGUAGAAGACGUCUACCGCUGCUGUGACAUGGACCUUUAUCAUGAAGGAAUAAACAAUUGCUUAUUGCUGAGAGGUGACAGAAGAAGCCACCUCCUCUGUGAGCCGAGGCACACAUGCUGGGACCUGUACCCUGCACUGUAACAAUCCAUGUCAUUUCAAUCAUAAUGGUAGUAAUAGAAAAGACUUCUGCGGUUCCCAGAUAAAAGCAAUCUCAUGGCCCUUAUUAAGCUGUAAUGAUUUCCACCCACAUCGGUGACUCAUCAGCAAUCUGAAGCCAGCACUUCUCCAUGAAAACACUUUAUUCCGGAAGAAUAUUUCUAUGUAACCAUAGUAAAGACUGCCGCAAGAUUUUACGAGGACAUAAAGACUGGAAUGAUCUGCUGUACUGCACUGUACAUGACAUCUGACCAAAAAAAGACAAAUGAGCCUUGUACAAGCCUUAAAAGUUAAUGUGAAAAGUUUUAGUUGCACCGGGUUUUACUCCUAAUACCUGCUAUGAUUCCUAGUUAUAAGUCGAGAAGUGAGCGGCAGCAAACCCGACUGUCCAGCCAGCAGGUCUGAUCUUUUCUUCUCAGCAAACUUCCCCGGCUUAUAACUAGAAAUCACAGCAGGUGUCAGAAGUGACAUCCGAUGCAAUCAAAACUUUUGACAUGUCUGGCAAACAUGUGAAAAGUUUUUUUGUAAUGAUAGUUACCUCCUGGUUAUAGUGAAACACUGACUUUAAAAAGUUCCUGUUGCUUUAAAAGACUUUUGACAUCACUUAGAGACAUGUCAAAAGUUUUGAUUGGUCGGGGUUUGAGUGAUCAUAUCCCAACCAAUUGUUAGAACGAGCCGGGAGAAAAGUGCAGCUGACGAAACCAUCACAUAGAAUUAUAUUGUAAAUUUGUCUCGAUUAGCGCGCUCUUCUCCAAGCUAGAUCCAGCUAUCAGUUCAGACCCUGGCCGAUCUAAAUUGAUGGCAUGACCUUACCCAUUUAAGGUAAAGCUACAGGAAAAGGUGGUAUGAAAGCUGCUUUGCAUAUUACUUCUCAGAAUUCCCAGAGAAGCAUCAAUGGCCUAUAAGCCUCCGCACAUUGAUAGGACGGUCUUCUCAAGAAAAAGACUACCCCUUUGGACCCACAACUUUAACAUCUGAGCACAAGUAACCCAGUUUUCUACUAGUUACAUCUUAAAGGGGUACACCGCCCCUAGACAUCUUAUCCCCUAUCCAAAGGAUAGGGGAUAAGAUGUCUGAUCCCGGGGGUCCCAAUCUUGGC